UACAGUGGGUGCAAGCGUUAAUCGGAAUUACUGGGCGUAAAGCGCACGUAGGCGGUUUUUUAAGUCAGAUGUGAAAGCCCCGGGCUCAACCUGGGAAUUGCAUUUGAAACUGGGAAACUAGAGUGUGUGAGAGGGGGGUAGAAUUCCAAGUGUAGCGGUGAAAUGCGUAGAGAUUUGGAGGAAUACCAGUGGCGAAGGCGGCCCCCUGGCACAACACUGACGCUCAGGUGCGAAAGCGUGGGGAGCAAACAGG
rnacentral:rRNA from 1 species